rnacentral:rRNA from 1 species
GACGAACGCUGGCGGCGUGCUUAACACUUGCAAGUCGAACGGUGAAAGCGGAGCUUGCUCCGCUGGAUCAGUGGCGAACGGGUGAGUAACACGUGGGCAACCUGCCCCUCACUUCGGGAUAACUCCGGGAAACCGGGGCUAAUACCGGAUAUGACCUCCUUGGGCAUCCUUGGAGGUGGAAAGUUUUUCGGUGGGGGAUGGCCCGCGGCCUAUCAGCUUGUUGGUGAGGUAGUGGCUCACCAAGGCGACGACGGGUAGCCGGCCUGAGAGGGCGACCGGCCACACUGGGACUGAGACACGGCCCAGACUCCUACGGGAGGCAGCAGUGGGGAAUAUUGCGCAAUGGGCGAAAGCCUGACGCAGCAACGCCGCGUGCGGGAUGACGGCCUUCGGGUUGUAAACCGCUUUCAGCAGGGAAGAAGCCGCAAGGUGACGGUACCUGCAGAAGAAGCACCGGCUAACUACGUGCCAGCCGCCGCUGUAA